AAAAGAACUUUGGAGAGAGAGUCAAAGAGACCGCGAACCCGUUAGGAGGGAAACGAAUGCAGCUCGAUGGGGUAUGAGCGGGUUCAGGGCCGGUUAACUACCGAAGCGGCCGUGCAGACCCGUAUGGGGCUGUACCGUCGGUUUUGGGUGGUAAAUCGUCCUGCACUCCCMCUAAAUGUCCGGCCAACGUCGGUUUGGUUUGGCUCUUGCGGACGGUCGGGUAGGUACCUCACUGUGCGGUUUCGGCGUGCGCAGGGAGAACUUAAAGCCGGUCGUUUUUUUGCAGUUGAACGUAGCAAACCGAGGAGACGUGUGCCACUUCACACAGGCAGAGCAUGCCCGCCGUUUCUGCGGUGGGCCGGACCGCUUCUAAUCGUUGAGUAGGCGCUGCUGGGACUGUUUGCCAGUGCCAGUUGACGCUUUGUUCUCCWGGUUGGGAGGCCGGUCGCGUCUUGCUCUGC
rnacentral:sRNA from 1 species